rnacentral:rRNA from 1 species
UACGGGGGGUGCAAGCGUUGUUUGGAUUUACUGGGCGUAAAGGGCGCGUAGGCGGUUACUGCAAGUCAGUUGUGAAAUCUCCGGGCUUAACCCGGAAAGGUCAACUGAUACUGCAGGGCUAGAGUGCAGAAGGGGCAACUGGAAUUCUCGGUGUAGCGGUGAAAUGCGUAGAUAUCGAGAGGAACACCUGCGGCGAAGGCGGGUUGCUGGGCUGACACUGACGCUGAUGUGCGAAAGCUAGGGGAGCGAACGGG